rnacentral:tRNA from 1 species
CUCUGUGUAGCAAAGUGGUUAUGCGGCGGUCUGUAGAACCGUUUAUGGGGGUUCGAAUCCCUCCGCGGAGA